GAGUAUCACAGUGAUAGAAGCAGCAUAGGGACCUGCACAAAAGCCCAAAGAAGGAAAAAAGUUUUGGAAGUAAAUGUACCUCUGGAUCCCCUCAUGGACAUGCACCCAUGGAAAAUCAGGACUAAUAUCUGGCUUUUCAUCUCCUGUUUUACAACACUUUUGAACACCUGAGGAAAGAAUGAGUUAUUGGAAUAAGUCUUAGCACUGUGAGGACAGAUAAGCUCGUGUUUGGACCAGGGACGACACUCACAGUUGUACCAAAUAUUCCAAACAGUUCUGUCCCUCAAGUCAUUGUGAUGAAUUCAAAGAAGCUGGAAGAAGGUGGCAGCACUGGGAAAGCAGCUUGUUUGGCAAGGAAUUUCCUUACAAAGGACAUCAGCUUGGAGAUGCCCUCUAAGGAGGUCGUAUAUGAACAGAGCAUGUCCAUUUUGACAUCAGAGGGGCUGUACAAUGCAAUUAAAGUGGUCAAUGUGACAAAAGACACAGAGCUGACCUGCACAGCCAAAUUCAACAACAGCAACAUAACAACACUUUCAGAAGAGGAGGCUGAAGAGCCUCCUGAAGUACCAGAGGCUGAAGAACCAGGGGCCAGUAACCGGGUUUGUAACAGCACAGCCCCCUCAGCACAAGAUCCUGAAGGGCACAGAGUGAACAUGCUGUCCAUGGCUGUGUUGGGCCUGAGAGUCCUGCUGGCAAAGAGCAUCGCCUUCAAUACCCUCCUGAGUAUCAAGCUGUUUCUUUUCUGAGACAUGGGGAAUGAAGGCAAGAGGAACCCGAGGAAGAGCAGGAAAGAACGUGAACCAGCAGCACGAGGGGUUGAACAAGCAGUGGCAGAGCUGCUGACAGUGACCACCCAGGACACAAGGCAGCACCUUCCCCUGCAGACACUGAAUACUGUUCACUCCUGCCUGGCCAGAUGAUUUACACUGAAGAGCUUUAAGUGCUUUUGCUGUUUCCUCUUCCCUGAGAACGGAGGAGAGUGGAUUUAUCCUCAUCCUCCUGCUAAGUAGAUCUCCCCACUCUUCUGGCAUUUGCAUACAAGUGUCCUCCCUGCUUCAGCAGCUCUGAAAACUCCAGGGCUCACCCUAGAUAAAUGGCCUUUUAAAAGCACCUUUCCCAGGCAUGUUGUGUUACUGCCUGGAGACCUGGAAGUAUUACUGCUGAGGGAAUUCACACCCAGCAGUUGCCAUUUCUAGCAUUGCAUUUCAGAUAGCUUUAAUAACAGUUAAGUAUAUAGUGCAGAUGAGAAGAGCUGUGUAGGAUCUGAAGUGAUUCAAUUCAACCAGAUAAUGUUUAACCAGAGAAAUAUUUAUUUAUUAGCCACAUUUCUUCUGCCAAAUGUAUCUCAUGUGCAUUUUAGGUUCCUGUAGUAGUGAUGAAAAUAAAGUUUUAUGAGGCCA